UACGGAGGGUGCGAGCGUUGUCCGGAAUCACUGGGCGUAAAGGGCGCGUAGGCGGCCUGAUAAGUAGGGGGUGAAAUCCUGCGGCUUAACCGCAGGGCUGCCUUCUAAACUGUCAGGCUCGAGCACAGUAGAGGCAGGUGGAAUUCCCGGUGUAGCGGUGGAAUGCGUAGAGAUCGGGAAGAACAUCAGUGGCGAAGGCGGCCUGCUGGCUGUUGCUGACGCUGAGGCGCGACAGCGUGGGGAGCAAACAGG
rnacentral:rRNA from 1 species